GACGAACGCUGGCGGCGUGCUUAACACAUGCAAGUCGAACGGAAAGGCCCUGCUUUUGUGGGGUGCUCGAGUGGCGAACGGGUGAGUAACACGUGAGUAACCUGCCCUUGACUUUGGGAUAACUUCAGGAAACUGGGGCUAAUACCGGCUAGGAGCUCCUGCUGCAUGGUGGGGGUUGGAAAGUUUCGGCGGUUGGGGAUGGGCUCGCGGCUUAGCAGCUGGUUGGUGGGGUAGUGGCUUACCAAGGCUUUGACGGGUAGCCGGCCUGAGAGGGUGACCGGCCACAUUGGGACUGAGGUACGGCGCAGACUGCUACGGGAGGGAGCAGUGGAGAAUAGUGCACAGUGGGCUGAAGCCUGAUGCAGCGGCGCCGCGUGCGGGAUGACGGCCUUCGGGUUGUAGACCGCUUUCGCCUGUGACGGAGCGUGAGUGAAGGUAAUGGGUAAAGAAGCACCGGCUAACUACGUG
rnacentral:rRNA from 1 species